GACGAACGCUGGCGGCGUGCUUAACACAUGCAAGUCGAACGGAAAGGCCCUGCUUUUGUGGGGUGCUCGAGUGGCGAACGGGUGAGUAACACGUGAGUAACCUGCCCUUGACUUUGGGAUAACUUCAGGAAACUGGGGCUAAUACCGGAUAGGAGCUCCUGCUGCAUGGUGGGGGUUGGAAAGUUUCGGCGGUUGGGGAUGGACUCGCGGCUUAUCAGCUUGUUGGUGGGGUAGUGGCUUACCAAGGCUUUGACGGGUAGCCGGCCUGAGAGGGUGACCGGCCAAAUUGGGACUGAGAUACGGCCCAGACUCCUAAGGGAGGCAGCAGUGGGGAAUAUUGAACAAUGGGCGGAAGCCUGAUGCAGCAACGCCGCGUGCGGGAUGACGGCCUUCGGGUUGUAAACCGCUUUCGCCUGUGACGAAGCGUGAGUGACGGUAAUGGGUAAAGAAGCACCGGCUAACUACGUG
rnacentral:rRNA from 1 species